UCCGGCAGCGAUAUCACCCUGUAGCCCAAGACUGGUUACCCACUGAAGCUAAGCAGGGCUGAGCCUGGUCAGUACCUGGAUGGACAUCAUCCAGGUGGAUGCUGCAC
rnacentral:rRNA from 1 species